rnacentral:misc_RNA from 1 species
UUAAGAGCCUUAAGGAAUUUUGAAGUGCCGCUCUGAGCAAUAGUUCCAAGACAGUCAAUGAGUUCUUCUUUUGUCAUUCCAAUGCCUGUGUCCGUUAUGGUAAUUGUCCCAUUGUCAGGAUCAGUUUUUAUACGAAUCUCCAGUUCACCAGCGUCUCCAAGCAAAGAUGGCUCAGUCACACUUAAGAAUCUCAACUUAUCUAAAGCAUCACUUGCAUUGCUCACAAGCUCUCUAAGGAAUACUUCCUUGUGGCUGUAUAGACUGUGAACUAUCAAAUCCAACAGGCGACUGACCUCAGCUUGAUACUCGAAUUUCUCUCCAGAAGUAUCCGCGGCUUCUUUCUCGGCGACAGCGGCCUCGCACCGGACAGCAAUUCGAUGUUUCUCAAGCUUCCAAUUUCGGCCAGUACAUGAGAAGCCCUUUCUGAGACCGUUAUUUUGUGGCAACAAGGGACUUCUUAGACUAAAGGACUUGGUGCUAAGAUGUUCACGUGAAAAGGGUGCGGAAGAGGAAAGGGAGACCAAAGAAGCAGCAGCUAAGCUUCUGCUUAGAACUGGAGCCAUUGAGCCCUAGAUAGGUUGAGGGAGACUUGCAGUCGGGUGCUAUAAGAGAUAUGUUGGGCUGUCAAUGUGUCGCUAGUAACGUGGAAAAAACCCUCGCAGGGUUUAAGCGGGGAGAGAAGA